GGCUAUUGUUGGUGUCUGGCGCCGCUUGCUGGACAGAACCACGGCAGAAACACAUGGCAGAUAUGAACCAUCACGUUGCCGUAGACAGCUCGGCACAGCAUACACGGUGUGUUCCUUAAGUCAUUUAACGUUUAUCCGCAGGGAUUCGCUGGAACUAGCCUACCACGAUAGUUCGUAUGGAAGAGGAGGUGACAUUUAUUAAGUAUGUGAGGUAACUUGUUGUCAAAGUGUGUGAGUGUGAAACGACAGUUUCUUUGAAUUAAUUAGUGACAUUUUUAUUUUAUUUUUAUCAAUGUGGUUGAUUGGGCUUAUUGGGAAUAAAUAAUCAGAUCAUUAAAAAACAUCACUGUUGUAGUCUAGGCUAUGUGGGGCUUUCUUGGGUUUACCUUAUGUAAAGAAAAAAUAAUGACUAUAAUUAUGAUGAUGAUUAUUAUUAUUAUGUCAUUAAAAUGUCGUUGUUGUUGCAAUUUCAGUUUAUUUACUUGAUGAUGAUGAAUAUGGGGAGGAAAACGAGGAUGAUUACGUUGACGAGUAUCUACUUAAACAAUAUGUUAGUUUGAUCUAAUUAAUUAUGAGUUAUUACGGCACAUAAAAUAGUUUUAGUUAGUUUUAUAAGAAAUGCCAGCUAUUAGUGAGGAAGUCACUCUCCUUGGUAAACAGCCCGCUCUGUCUGCCUGUGUUGAACCGUCCGGCUCCACGCAUGCGCAGUGCCACUCCGUCCGCCUCGGUAAGGGUGUAGAUCCUAGCUCGCGCUGGAACACGGGAACAGCGAAUAGAUACAGUAUUCUUACAUAUAAAAAAAAAAAACAUAAAAAGAAACGGAUGUGCCUCCGAAAACGAAACGGAUACCGUCCUCCUGACAAUUUUAAUGCAACAAUUGAGAGGUCCGUGGCCAAAGGGGGGAUGACAUGCGUGUUCCCAGGCUGUUAACAUCGCUGAGGAUUAUAAGACUAUUAGACUGCCAAGAGCUGUCAAGCCAUGAUGGACAUACUGGUAACUUAACCUAACGUCUGUCUGUCUGUCUGUCUGUCUGUCUGUCUCUCUCCCUCUUUCUCUCNNNNNNNNNNCUCUCUCUCUCUCUCUCUCUCUCUCUCUCUCUCUCCCUGUCUUUGUCUCUUUCUCUCUUUUCUCAAUUAAAUUUCAAUUCAAUUUAAGGGUUGUAUUGGCAUGGGAAACAUAUGUUUACAUUGCCAAAGCAAGUGAAAUAGAUCAUAAACAAAAGUUAAACAAACAAUAACAAUUACCUGUAAACAUUACACUCAGAAAAGUUCCUAGAGAAUAAAAACAUUAUUAAUGUCAUAUUUAAGUGCAAAUAGUUAAAGUACAAAAGGCAAAAUAAAUAAACAUAAAUAUGGGUUGUAUUUACAAUGAUGUUUGUUCUUCACUGGUGUGAUGGCACACUGUGGUAUUUCACCCAAUAGAUAGAUUUGGGUUUGUUUUCAAAUUCUUUGUGGAUCUGUUUAAUCUGAGAGAAAUAUGUGUCUCUAAUAUGGUCAUACAUUUAGCAGGAGGUUAGGAAGUGCAGCUCAGUUUCCACCUCAUUUUGUGGCCAGUGUGCUCCUAGCCUGUCUUCUCUUGAGAGCCAGGUCUGUCUACGGCGGCCUUUCUGAAUAGCAAGGCUAUGCUCACUGAGUCUGUACAUAGUCAAAGCUUUCCUUAAGUUUGGGUCAGUGAAAGUGGACAGGUAUUCUGCCGCUGUGUACUCUCUGUUUAGGGCCAAACAGCGUUCUAGUUUGCUUUGUUUUUUGACAAUUAUCUUUUUGAUUUGUCAUGAUUUCUCAUGAUUCUGCGUGCAGAGUCUCAAUUUGGUGUUUGUCCCAUUUUGUGAAUUCUUGGUUGGUGAGCGGACCCCAGACCUCACAACCAUAAAGGGCAAUGGGUUCUUUAACUGAUUCAUGUAUUUUUAGCCAGAUCCUAAUCAGUAUGUUGCAUUUUAUGUUCCUUUUGAUGGCCAAGAAAGCCCUUCUUGCCUUGUCUCUCAGCUCAUUCACUGCUUUGUGGAUGUUACCUGUGGCGCUGAUGUUUAGGCUGAGGUAUGUAUAGUUUUAUGUGUGCUCUAGGGCAACGGUGUCUAGAUGGAAUUUUUGGAACACCAUUAUGUUUUGUCUUACUGAGAUUUACUGUCAGGGCCCAGGUCUGUCAGGGCCCAGGUCUGACUGAAUCUGUGCAGAAGAUCUAGGUGCUGCUGUAGGCCCUUCUUGGUUGAUGACAGAAGCACCAGAUCAUCAGCAAACAGUAGACGUUUGACUAGUAGGGUGAGGCUGGGUGCUGCAGACUGAUCAAGUGCCCUCGCCAAUUCGUUGAUAUAGAUGUUGAAGUGGGUGGGGCUUAAGCUGCAUCCCUGUCUCACCCCAUGGCCCUGUUAUUGGGGUCAAAUUUGUCUCCACUUUUAUGGAUUGGGGUGAUCAGUCCUUGGUUCCAAAUGUAAAUGUAAAAUGUUCCUGUUUUGAUUAAUUUAGUAGGGUAGGUUAGGUCUGCUCUAUACUAAAUGACCUGAGUCCCUUCCCUGUUUCACACCUGGUCGUUUGGUGGAUGGGACUACCAGCUCUCUGUAACCUAGAGGGCAACCAGUGGGUCCAUCUCUUCAAUACCAGGUUUCUUGUAGGAUGACAAUGUCUGUAUUUCUAAUUUAUUUGGUGAAGUCCAGGUUCCUGCUCUUUAGGUCGAAGGCAGAUGACCUCAGGCCUUGGAUAUUCCAGGAUGAUAUAGUGAAGGGUUUGUAUUCCAUAAAGUGUGCAAUGUUGUUGGUCGUGGUUUGGCCUCAGACCAGUAAUUGUGAGCAGAGCCUGGCUUGGGCUAGUGUAAGAUUGGGGGUUGGGCCUGUUUGCCUGCUCACGGCCUGGGCGUAUGUGUGACUUCCAUGUUGAGGCCCUCUUUGCGGGAGUGGGGGGGCAUGGGGUGAGCAGGAGGGGCAUAGGUCUGAUCUGACUUGGGGGGGUGUUGAUUGGUUGGGGUGUGGGC
rnacentral:lncRNA from 13 species